AUUACAGAUUUAUUUCUUCCAAAAGUAUUACAUCUAUUUAUAUACAUUGUGGAAAAGUAGAUAGAACAAAUAUUAAAGUUUGGAGAAAAAGUUUCUUUGUAUUUUAAUGUAAAGAUUUUUUUAGAAAUCAGUUUUACACCGUUAAAGGAAUUCUGCAGAGACUCGAACAAAUGGUAGUCUGAUGGUGCCAGGUCAGGAAUAUACGGUGGGUGUAUUAAAACUUCCUAGCCAAGUUCUUUCAAGUUUUGAUGGGUUACCAAUGAUGUGUCAAGUUUAGCGCUAUCGUAAUGGAAGAUGACAUCUUUCUUAUUAAUCAAUUCUGGUCGUUUUAUCUCAAUAGUCUUUUGGUCAUGUAAUCAUCAAUUGUUUGGCAUAAUCUUUCCAGUUAUUGAUAGUAGGGAUUAGAAUCAAUCAUUUGACCAAGCAGCAGCAGCUUAUAGUGAACAAUUGCUUUGCAAUCUCACCAUAGCAUCAUUAUUUUUAAUGUAAAUCCUGGCUUUGCCACUGUCUGUGGAGCUUUACCUUCCUUCGAUCAUGUUCGACUUUCCGUUCAUUAUUGUUAUAUGUGAUCUAUUUUUCAUUACCCGUAAUGAGUCGUUUCAAAAAUGGUUCAAUCUUGUUCUAUUUUAGCAACGAUUCGCUGAUAGAAAUUCGAUCUAUUAAAUUUUUCAUUGUUAAAUCAUGUGGCACACAAAUAUCGAGUUUUUUUUUGUAUUCAGCCUUUUUGAAAUGGUUUAAAACUGUUUUAUAAUCAAUAUUUAGUUCUUUAGCGACGUCAUGAUUGCUAAUAUGUCAGUCUUAUUUAAUUUUUUCCAUGAUUUCAUUAAAUUUUUCA